rnacentral:lncRNA from 1 species
CUUGGCUUGGCAUUUAAAGAAUUUGCAGAGAAGUACAGAUUAGAUCCUGGUAAUGGUAAGAUUUAACAGACUCAACAGGGAAGGACAUCUCUGCCUAUCACCUGCCCCCAACAUUACAAAGCCACAAUAAGAGAACAAAGAUCAGCCUCCUUCAGGCAACUAGCUAUUUAGUGAGAUUCCUUAAGGUAGGAACCAGCAUUCCAGUAUUUUUGGAGGAAGUUGAAUCUGCACAGCCCUUCCUGUGAAACAACUAUAUGCGCUGAACUUUACUGUUUGCAACUGUAACACAACUGAUCCACAUAUCCUGCGAUUUUUCAUCUGCUCAAUGUUGUUGAAACAAGCACUGCUGUGCCGUGUUGCAAAGUCAUAGGUAUUAUAUAUGUUGCAAAUAUACAUAGGUAUGUCAGCUUCUGACAUUUAGCAACUUGGACAUAGUACUUAUAUUCACUGACAUGUACAGGGCUUGAAGUAUUACAGACCAUCUGAUUAGCAGCUUUCAUAUUAUUUCUGAUGACAGAAAUGUGCAUUCAUCAUUUAUUUUAAAAGUGAACCUUCCAUGAUGUAAAUU